UUAUUUCAUAUUACUUCCCUCCUUAGAUUAUGAAAGAAGCAUAUUUUAUAAUAGAAACAAAGAUUUUAUCUUUAAAUGAUUAAAUUGGCACUAAACUACUAUUUUACAUGGAUCGUAAGAAUACCUAAAUGUUUGAGUUGGAGGCUGUAAAAUUUGUCCAAUUUUUCCAUCCCAUGAUCUUUUAUCGGUUAGCUUCAUUCUCAAUCCAUAUGUUAUGAUUGUUGUGUUGGAUGCACUUGCAAGCAUAAGCACAUGGAAGUACAUAUAACUCCCACAUUCUAUAACUGCAUGUCAUUUUUUUCGUGUUUGAUUUAAAACAAAAUUGAAUAGUGCCUGAUACUUUCAUUGUUGGCCAGGUUGACUCUAAUACAACUAAUCCCUCACCCUCUAUUGAACAUCACUGAAUUAUGGCUAGUACAUUCAAUGGUAAUUUUUGGCCAACUCAGUCCCACCCAGAUUCUUUCAUUAAAAACCUUCUCUAUUUCCUUGGUAUUCCAGCAAGAUUUAUAUCUUUACCAUAAAUUCCAUGAAACACCUUUUGUUGGAGGAAUAAAUCCUUUAGUGAAAGCCAUCACCUAUAAUUCAGGAACUUUUAUGUUGUAUCAUGAAGAAUCAAUUAUUAAAUAUACAGAAGCAUUCUUGAAUCCAUUGUACUUAAUUAUUCUCUAGAGUCAUAUGUUUGUCUUCCAGAUCAACAAAUUCUCCUAGAGAAUUUCUUUAAACAUCUCUUUGCACACCCUUUAAUUAUGAGAUGUUGGUAGAGAAUAGAAUGAUACAUAUGACCUGUGGACCAUAACCACUUAUAUAGAUAACUUUUUCCUAUUAUCAUUAGGUAUUGUUACCCUUAAGUCUCUAAACAUCAAAGGCCCAAAUCCUAUUAGAUACAUUAAAACCCAAAUUAUCGAAAACCUUAGUAGACACUUUUAAUUGGGCUUAACUUUAUAUGACAGUUCACAACACAUAAUUCUUCACAUAUAAGCCCAACGUUGGAUUAAAGAUCUAACAUUCUCCCACUUGGCUAUAUGUGUAAGCUUAUAAUUAUGCUUUGCAAAAAUAAAUGUAUGAACUCAACCUUACUAUCAUUACCAAAAUGUAUCUAUAACCAAUCUGGUCCAUCAAUCAUACUAGUGUAGGAUCAAAGUGGCCUUUGUUACAGCUAUUGCAACCCAUGAAUGGUCACUAUGUAUGCCAAUAUAACUAAAUGACAUUGAUCAUGAUGUGGAUCUAUAACAUAGAAAUUUCAUGCAAUCUGAACUUAACAUGCGUAUUUUCAAUUGGUCUACUUUAAACCUUAGUAAAAUCAAACUAUACAAAAAUCAGAGUAUGAAUAAAUCAAAACUUUAUUUUGGCAGAAAUUAACCUUACAUAUCCAUAAGCUGAAAUGACUGAAAAAUAUCUAUAUCAUAGGAGCAUUUAAAAUCACAAACUCCCACUAAAACUGAAUAUGCUUUAAUGAUACAAUACUCAUAUGAGCAGUGUACUCAUGAAACAUUUUGGGUGGCACUCUCUUAAUAAGCUUUUAUUAAGUUUAUUUUGGUCUACUUUGGCACUCUCUUAACAAACUCCACAAUCAUGGAGUUUGUGCCAACAUGCUUCUUGUGAAAAUUUUAUUGUACUUGUAAGGGCAUAAAUCUAUUGUAGUAUAAAUUAAAGUGAUGAGUGUCAAUCUCUCGUUUAAGGUUAAUUUUUCAAGUUCGUGUAAAUUAGUUGGAUGUGAUUUCUAAGCAAUGUUGAGAUUUAAAUUAAAAGAUGUCAAGAAUAAAUUAAAGAUGAAACAAUUUAAAUGGAAGACUUGAGUCUCUGGAUUCAUACUCAACACUUCACCAUUGGUUUAAUUUUUCUUUUCAAUUCCAAUUAAUUUAUGAGGGGUUAUUUCCAGUUCUUAUAGUCCUUAUUUUGGUAAAUAUGACAUCAAGCACUCAUUGUGCCAGGAGGAAAUAAUCUUCUAUUAAAUAUAGUGUCAAGUACAUGUUGUGCCAGGUGAUAAUACUCAUAUUCUCGACAAUGUGGCAAGACUGUCCACUAAAUAAAUUGGUUUCAUUCUCUAUCAACACUGAGUCAAGAUGAACCACUAAUUCUAGAGGGGAGUUUCUCAUUAAUAAAUAUAGUGUAGAGUACUCAAUCAUGCCAAACAAUAAUGAUCUUGCACUAUGGAGCUAGUAUACCGUGUAAAAUCUAGACAAGAUUAUUAUGGUUUGUCAACAACAAAUCAAAAUAAUCCACAUAAAUCAGAGAAAGAGAGCUAAUAAGCUUACCAAAUUAAGCCCAUGUAUCAUGUUGAGGUUUCACCUUCAACUCAAGCUUGAAACUAAAUUAGCCACUCAUAUUGAACUAGGGGUAAAAUGAUAAUUUUAUAUCAAAAUACAUAGAAAAUAUAAGAUGAAGGAAGAAAUAUGUAAAAUGGAGCACAAAUUUGGAUUCAAAGCUGUCGAAUUAGGGGGGUUUUCCAUUUAUAGAUACAACGGGUAAGUCAUGACGAUCGGAUGAAAACAACUCAAACGCUCAAGAUUACGCUACGUGGCAAGCUCUAAUUGGAUGAAACACGUUACCAAGAUGUUGAUUUAGUAAAUUGCAUGUAACAUUCGCAUGUUUUUUGAUCCAAUAAUAUGCGCUACGUCAUUGGUCAAUGACACGUCAAUUAGGGCCGCCGAAAGCUAAAAUUAUGAUUUUACUGUCUGAUUUCUCGUUAAUCAUGAAUAGAUGAUGGAAAACAUAUAGGAUAAUACUCUAAUUUAGAGUGUGAUAGGAUGAUAAGUUCGUAACAAUGGGGAUGGUUAGAAAAG
rnacentral:lncRNA from 1 species